GACAUGUCCGGAAAAAUACAGAGAAUCGAAAAAAGUUGAGGUAUCCACACAUCGUUGGCAAAACAAGUUUUGCUAUAAUCCGUGAGAAAAAAAAGAAGGAAAAUCCUGAAGCUUUGUCAAGUAAGGAGUUUUUUGUGGCUACUAGAAGAAGGAAACCAUGAGAGUAUACAAGGACUCAUAUGAAGAUACGGCUAGCAAAAUAGCUGAAAUGGAGAGAAUAGAAACUCAAGAAAGUGAAGAUGGCAGUCAAUCAGUUGACGCAUAUGUAUCAGUAAUGGGACCUGAUCAUCCAGGUCGAGUAAGAUUGUAUGGACGUGGGGUUACCAAGAUUCUCUUGAAACGAGAAAGCGGCGGAUGCUUGGACUCUCUUCAAAUAUUACUGAUGAAAUGGAGAAAAAAAUGGAGGAGAUAGAAGAGAGGAUGCAACAAAGAAUGCAGGAAAAAUUCAACGCGCAAAAGGAUACCAUGGAACAAGAUAUUACAAUGAAAGUCAUUGCAAAAAUUCAGCAGCUAAAUCCAGAAUUCCGACUUGAUCCUAAUAUGUUAAGGUUCAGUGUUCGC